GACGAACGCUGGCGGCGUGCUUAACACAUGCAAGUCGAACGGAAAGGCCCUGCUUUUGUGGGGUGCUCGAGUGGCGAACGGGUGAGUAACACGUGAGUAACCUGCCCUUGACUUUGGGAUAACUUCAGGAAACUGGGGCUAAUACCGGAUAGGAGCUCCUGCUGCAUGGUGGGGGUUGGAAAGUUUCGGCGGUUGGGGAUGGACUCGCGGCUUAUCAGCUUGUUGGUGGGGUAGUGGCUUACCAAGGCUUUGACGGGUAGCCGGCCUGAGAGGGUGACCGGCAUAGUUGGGCAGAAGGUCGGGCCCAGCCGCCAGGGGGAGGCAGAGGUGGAAAAUAUGGCACAAGGGGGGGAAGCCUGAGCCGACCGCGCCGGGUGGGGGAGGGCGGCUUGCGGUUUAAAACCCUCUUCCGCCUGUAAAGAGGGGGGAGUGACGGAAGGGGGAAAAAAAGCCCCGACUAACUACGUG
rnacentral:rRNA from 1 species